UGUAUUUAUUAGAUUAAAAACCAAUGCCCUUCGGGGCUCCUUGGUGAUUCAUAAUAACUUAACGAAUCGCAUGGCCUUGUGCCGGCGAUGGUUCAUUCAAAUUUCUGCCCUAUCAACUUUCGAUGGUAGUAUAUGGGACUACCAUGGUUUCAACGGGUAACGGGGAAUUAGGGUUCUAUUCCGGAGAGGGAGCCUGAGAAACGGCUACCACAUCCAAGGAAGGCAGCAGGCGCGCAAAUUACCCAAUCCCGACACGGGGAGGUAGUGACAAUAAAUACUGAUACAGGGCUCUUUUGGGUCUUGUAAUUGGAAUGAGUACAAUUUAAAUCCCUUAACGAGGAACAAUUGGAGGGCAAGUCUGGUGCCAGCAGCCGCGGUAAUACCAGCUCCAAUAGCGUAUAUUAAAGUUGUUGCAGUUAAAAAGCUCGUAGUUGAACCUUGGGCCUGGCUGGCCGGUCCGCCUCACCGCGUGUACUGGUCCGGCCGGGCCUUUCCUUCUGGAGAGCCCCAUGCCCUUCACUGGGCNGUGUGGGGGAACCAGG
rnacentral:rRNA from 1 species